UUGGACGCUAGCGGCGGAUGGGUGAGUAACACGUGGGCAAUCUGCCCUAAAGACUGGGAUACCACUUGGAAACAGGUGCUAAUACCGGAUAACAACAUGAAUCGCAUGAAUUCAAGUUUGAAAGGCGACGCAAGCUGUCACUUUAGGAUGAGCCCGCGGCGCAUUAGCUAGUUGGUGGGGUAAAGGCCUACCAAGGCAAUGAUGCGUAGCCGAGUUGAGAGACUGAUCGGCCACAUUGGGACUGAGACACGGCCCAAACUCCUACGGGAGGCAGCAGUAGGGAAUCUUCCACAAUGGACGCAAGUCUGAUGGAGCAACGCCGCGUGAGUGAAGAAGGUUUUCGGAUCGUAAAGCUCUGUUGUUGGUGAAGAAGGAUAGGAGCAGUAACUGGUUUCUAUUUGACGGUAAUCAACCAGAAAGUCACGGCUAACUACGUGCCAGCAGCCGCGGUAAUACGUAGGUGGCAAGCGUUGUCCGGAUUUAUUGGGCGUAAAGCGAGCGCAGGCGGAAUGAUAAGUCUGAUGUGAAAGCCCACGGCUCAACCGUGGAACUGCAUCGGAAACUGUCAUUCUUGAGUGCAGAAAAGGAGAGUGGAACUCCAUGUGUAGCGGUGGAAUGCCGUAGAUAUAUGGAAGAACACCAGUGGCGAAGGCGGCUCUCUGGUCUGCAACUGACGCUGAGGCUCGAAAAGCAUGGGUAGCGAACAGGAUAAGAUACCCUGGUAGUCCAUGCCGUAAACCGAUGAACCGCUAGGUGUUGGGG
rnacentral:rRNA from 1 species